rnacentral:rRNA from 1 species
UACGUAGGGUGCAAGCGUUAAUCGGAAUUACUGGGCGUAAAGCGUGCGCAGGCGGUUUUGUAAGUCAGAUGUGAAAUCCCCGGGCUCAACCUGGGAAUGGCAUUUGGGACUGCAAGGCUGGAGUACGGCAGAGGAGACUGGAAUUCCUGGUGUAGCAGUGAAAUGCGUAGAUAUCAGGAGGAAUACCGAUGGCGAAGGCAGGUCUCUGGGCUGAUACUGACGCUCAUGCACGAAAGCGUGGGGAGCAAACAGG